rnacentral:rRNA from 1 species
UACGUAGGGUGCAAGCGUUUAAUCGGAAUUACUGGGCGUAAAGCGUGCGCAGGCGGUUAUGUAAGACAGAUGUGAAAUCCCCGGGCUCAACCUGGGAACUGCAUUUGUGACUGCAUAGCUAGAGUACGGUAGAGGGGGAUGGAAUUCCGCGUGUAGCAGUGAAAUGCAUAGAUAUGCGGAGGAACACCGAUGGCGAAGGCAAUCCCCUGGACCUGUACUGACGCUCAUGCACGAAAGCGUGGGGAGCAAACAGG